rnacentral:rRNA from 1 species
UAGUCAUAUGCUUGUUUCAAGGACUAAGCCAUGCAUGCCUCAGAAUAACUGCACUGCAGGAGUCUGCGCAUGGCUCAUUACAUCAGACGCAAUCUGCCGCAAAAAUGUUGCGGAAACGCAUUAUUGGAUACCUUGUGCGAAACGCCAAGCUAAUACAUGAACUAAAGGGAUCGUCCCGUUCCACACGCCGUAGGCUUGCCGAAAGCGUGGUGGCCGACCCUGCGGAUGAAUGAAAGUACAAACCAACGCCCUUCACCGGGCAGUAAUACGGAGAAGUGCUGAAUCAAUUCAUCUUUGCGUAAGCUGGCCUAGCCAGCGUCUUUUGACGAACAACUGCCCUAUCAGCCAGUGAUGGCCGUGUAGUGGACUGCCAUGGCGUUGACGGGAGCGGGGGAUUAGGGUUCGAUUCCGGAGAGGGAGCCUGAGAAAUGGCUACCACUUCUACGGAGGGCAGCAGGCGCGCAAAUUGCCCAAUGCCAAAACAAAUGAUGAGGCAGCGAAAAGAAAUAGGUGCCCCAAAUACCUCGUGUGUUUGGGCUUCAAUGGGGAUAUUAAAACCAUCCAACAUCGAGUAACAAUU